AGCGAACGCUGGCGGCAGGCCUAACACAUGCAAGUCGAACGAACUCUUCGGAGUUAGUGGCGGACGGGUGAUGAACACGUGGGAACGUGCCUUUUGGUUCGGAAUAACUCAGGGAAACUUGUGCUAAUACCGAAUGUGCCCUUCGGGGGAAAGAUGUAUCGCCAUUAGAGCGGCCCGCGUCUGAUUAGCUAGUUGGUGAUGUAACGGCUCACCAAGGAGACGAUCAGUAGCUGGUCUGAGAGGAUGACCAGCUACACUGGGACUGCGACACGGACCAGACUCCGACGGGAGGGAGCAGUGGGGAAUAUUGCGCAAUGGGGGAAAGCGUGACGCAGCCAUGCCGGGUGAAUGAUGAAGCUCUUAGGAUUGUAAAAUUGUUUCACCGGAGACGAUAAUGACGGUAACCGGAGAAGAAGCCCCGGCUAACUUCGUG
rnacentral:rRNA from 1 species